AUCACAAGAUCAAAGCAGUUUAACGAACCCAAAGUUCAGCAUGAAGAUGAAGGAGUUUGGAAGAAACCUUGAGGAGGAGGAACACCAACGGGAGGUUGAUUGUACUGAGUCAUUGUUGUUUCUUUUCUAGGUUUCUGAUCUCCUGCGAAACGUGUAGGUCAAGAACAAGAAACGACGUUGACUAAAGGAGAUGACUCACAAUGCAAAGUCUAGACCCAUAAACUUAUAGAGAUGUGUACAGAACGAUAAGGAGAAGGAAAAGUCAUUGAGAGUAUGUUUUAAGUAAAACGCGUUUUGCAGUAGUUAUCUCUCUUUUUUAUUUGGUUUUAUCCCAAAAUCAAACCUCCGCCAUAUAAUAGCAGAUAUUUAUUAUGUUUACUUUUAAUUAUAUAUUUUUUUUAUAAAGAAUAAAACAUAUUACCCUGUUUUCCUGUACUAUAUACUAAGCUUUGCUAUUGCUAACUGACCGUAUAUGGUUGAUAUUUGUCAAGUCUUGCUGCUACUUGUCAAGGUCAUAAGACUUGGCUCUCCGUUUGGUCCAAAAUUUGAUUAACAACCUACACUUGAUCAUGUAUCACAAAAUGCAUAGUUCAGUGAGGUUGAUUGUACUGAGUCAUUGUUGUUCCUCUGCGAAACUCGUAGCUCAAGAAAAGACUUGACGAAAGGAGAUGACGCUCAGUGCAAAGUCUAGACCCAGAAACUUAUUGAAGAUAUAUGAGCCGUAGAAUUUAGAUAUGUGUAGAGAAUGAUAAGGAAAAGUCAUUGUAUGACUGGUUGAAACGCAGUAAGUUUUAAGCACCAGCUUUAGAUAAUAAAAAACAGUCUAAAAAACCAUAAUAAUUUGACCCAAAAAAAAACCAUAAUAAUAAGUUAAAUGAUAAAAAAUGUAACCAAUGAUUACAAGAUAUUUGACUGAAUGGGUUCCAGUGGAUUUCUCGUGAUAUAUCAUUUAGAUAUUGCUUUUCGUUCUAUCUUCUCAUCACAAUGGAAUAUAGUCAAAUCCAGACUCUAGAGAUAUAGUGAUAUGGAAAAGAAAAAAUUGUUUC
rnacentral:lncRNA from 1 species